rnacentral:lncRNA from 1 species
GUUUCAGAGAAUUUCACUCAGCUUAGGAGAAUGUGACCAAUGUCUGGGAUGAAAAGUUUAUAUUUUCAGCAUCACAAGUCAUUUCCACUAAUCUUACCAUCACAGGUUCUGCUUUUUAAACACUGACCCCAGGAGAAGCUCUGCAGCAUGAGAAGAAAGCUCUUCUGCUCUUUGUCCUUUGGAAUACAGAGAAAACCAGCUAGAGCCCCAAAAUGGCUUUUAUUUGCACCUACCUGCUGCCUCUCCAUCUCUUCCAGCUGAGAACUCAGGACACUGUAGCCCAGAGGAGGAAAACUCUGUAGAGGACACAGAACAGCCUAUGCAUAUCAUCAGCUUGAAGAAGAUACCAAAUGAUCCCAUUAUCAAGGUGAUAUAUACAUUAACACAAGUUUCAGCACUAUAGUCUUUCCUAUUUAAUAGCUAAGAAUAGAACAGAAGAUAAUUAUCUAAUUUGCU